UACGAAGGGGGCUAGCGUUGUUCGGAUUUACUGGGCGUAAAGCGCACGUAGGCGGAUUGUUAAGUCAGGGGUGAAAUCCUGGAGCUCAACUCCAGAACUGCCUUUGAUACUGGCAAUCUAGAGUCCGGAAGAGGUGAGUGGAACUCCUAGUGUAGAGGUGGAAUUCGUAGAUAUUAGGAAGAACACCAGUGGCGAAGGCGGCUCACUGGUCCGGUACUGGACGCUGAGGUGCGAAAGCGUGGGGAGCAAACA
rnacentral:rRNA from 1 species